GCUGAAGAAGCCGCUAGGGCUUAUGAUGCCGAGGCACGGAGGAUCCGUGGGAAGAAAGCUAAGGUUAACUUUCCAGAUGAAACUCCUGCUGCUGCUCCAAAGAGCUCAGUGAAGGCAAACUCUCAGAAAUCAGUUCCCAAAGCUUGCCUAAGCCCCGUGCAGCCAAGUUUGAACCAGAACUUCGAUUACUUGAACAACUCCGAUCAGGAUUACUACAACAAUGUGAGUAUUCUGGAGGAGAAACCACAAGUGAAUCAGUAUGGAUAUUUGGGCUCCUUCCCUAAUGAUGGAGAACUAGGAUUCAAACCCUUUGUGCCAACAGCUGAUGAUACUCCUUUGUACUUCAACUCUGACCAAGGCAGUAACUCCUUUGAUUGUUCUGACUUUGGCUGGGGAGAACAGGCACCAAAGACUCCUGAAAUCUCAUCUGUUUUGGAAGCUACCCCUGAAGUUGAUGAAUC
rnacentral:lncRNA from 1 species